CAAAUAGUUUUGUUUUGACUGUUAUAAAAAGGCAGUCUACUUCACUAAUGAGACGAUCAUUGACUAACAAAAGUUAGAUAACCAACAGUACUUCUACAACCCAUGGAUACUACCUAAAAACAUCAAAAUGCAUUAAAGCACAGAAAGGUUAAGAUUUGACCACGUAAAAGUUAAUGAUUUACUAAUCUUAGGGCAAAUGAGAAACCAUCAAUUAUCAUUAG
rnacentral:misc_RNA from 1 species